GACGAACGCUGGCGGCGUGCCUAAUACAUGCAAGUCGAGCGCAGGAAAUCGACGGAACCCUUCGGGGGGAAGUCGACGGAAUGAGCGGCGGACGGGUGAGUAACACGUAAAGAACCUGCCCUCAGGUCUGGGAUAACCACGAGAAAUCGGGGCUAAUACCGGAUGGGUCAUCGGACCGCAUGGUCCGAGGAUGAAAGGCGCUUCGGCGUCGCCGGGGGAUGGCUUUGCGGUGCAUUAGCUAGUUGGUGGGGUAAUGGCCUACCAAGGCGACGAUGCAUAGCCGACCUGAGAGGGUGAUCGGCCACACUGGGACUGAGACACGGCCCAGACUCCUACGGGAGGCAGCAGUAGGGAAUCUUCCACAAUGGACGAAAGUCUGAUGGAGCAACGCCGCGUGAACGACGAAGGCCUUCGGGUCGUAAAGUUCUGUUGUAAGGGAAGAACAAGUGCCGCAGGCAAUGGCGGCACCUUGACGGUACCUUGCGAGAAAGCCACGGCAAACUACGUGCCAGCCGCCGCCGUAA
rnacentral:rRNA from 1 species